UACGUAGGGGGCAAGCGUUGUCCGGAUUUAUUGGGCGUAAAGAGCUCGUAGGUGGUUCGGUAAGUCGGAUGUGAAAUCUCCAGGCUCAACCUGGAGGGGUCAUUCGAUACUGCCGUGACUAGAGUUCGGUAGGGGAGUGUGGAAUUCCUGGUGGAGCGGUGAAAUGCGCAGAUAACAGGAGGAACACCAACGGCGAAGGCAGCUCGCUGGGACGGUACUGACGCUGAGGCGCGAAAGCGUGGGGAGCAAACAGG
rnacentral:rRNA from 1 species